GUGACCAACUUUGUACCUUCCUUGUUAUGCUACCCAGAAUCCUGUACUUGAAACCAUCAAAAAGAUGAUAGAUUCUCAACACCAGGCAGUGCCCUUCUGUAAGCACAGGCAGGGCAAGGCGUUGUUCUUCCUGGCUCUGGAAACACUCCAACUCAUAUUCAAUUUCCACAGGAAGAAAUCCUGAAGCUUCACAUACUUGUGCUGAUUCCAAACAUCUCUCUGACCCAGGCAGCGGAUUCUGAAAUCCUGAAUUGUUUUCUGCUUGCUGGAAAUCCUCACUGCCUGAAUGGGAGUCUAUAUCAAACUGUUUGAGAGCAGCAACAACACCUACAGAGCUCUCGAGAUGACUGAAGAACUUUUCUGAUGCACGGGGUUCCUCCAUUGAGAGAACCCCUUCAGCUCCCCGAUCUCCCUCUACCCUAGCACUCCAGACCCACAGCAUCCAUAGGUAACCCUUACCUGCUCCCACGUGACACUGUUGGGCUAAAGACAAAGCAGCUCGAGGCUGGAGCUGAGUGCUCGCGGUGCAGCCAGGCACCUGCGCAGCUU